rnacentral:rRNA from 1 species
CAUGCUUAACACAUGCAAGUCGAACGCGAAAGUCCUUCGGGGCGAGUAGAGUGGCGGACGGGUGAGUAACGCGUGGGAAUCUACCCUAGAGCGGGGGACAACCCGGGGAAACCCGGGCUAAUACCGCAUACGUCCUACGGGAGAAAGAGGGCCUCUGCUUGCAAGCUCUCACUCCAGGAUGAGCCCACGUCCGAUUAGCUAGUUGGUGAGGUAACGGCUCACCAAGGCGACGAUAGGUAGGGGGCGUGAGAGCGUGGCCCCCCACACGGGUACUGAGACACGGACCCGACUCCUACGGGAGGCAGCAGUAAGGAAUAUUGGACAAUGGGCGCAAGCCUGAUCCAGCCAUCCCGCGUGCAGGAUGACAGCCCUACGGGUUGUAAACUGCUUUUGUUAGGGAAGAAACCCCUCGAUUUAUCGGGGGCUGACGGUACCUUUCGAAUAAGCACCGGCUAACUCCGUG